UUUGGUGCUCUUCUGUGGGAGUAAGAAGGAGAAGCUCUUGAAUCUUUGAACCUUUCGUCUCUCAUCUCAAAUUCGCUAGAGAUCAGAUCUCUAGAGGCGGUUACUCCAUCUUUCUUCAUCCUCCUUCUUCUCACUCUCCUUGGAUUACCAAAUCCACUUUUGAUCGAUUUGUGAGAUUUGUAAACACGCCUGUGAUUAUCGAGAGAUUUGCUACUCUGGAGAAAGAAAUUGAGCAUUCUAUUCAAGCUAAUGAAAUUGCCAAUGCUGCUGCUGAUGCUGAGCAAUUACAAACACAAAUGGUGAUGCUAAUUCUGGAGUAAGUAGUAAUCUAAGGAAGUUGAAAGAGUCAUUCAAGAGAAAGUCGUGCAGUAGAUAUAGAGUCACUAUGUGUUCUAGCCGGAAAGCUGGUCUGGUCUGUUUGCAUUGAUCUUCACAUUUGGACUAUGGAGGGUAGC